rnacentral:rRNA from 1 species
GACGAACGCUGGCGGCGUGCUUAACACAUGCAAGUCGAACGGAAAGGCCCCUUUGGGGGUACUCGAGUGGCGAACGGGUGAGUAACACGUGAGUAACCUGCCCUUGACUUCGGGAUAACUUCAGGAAACUGGGGCUAAUACCGGAUAGGAAUCCUUGCUGCAUGGUGGGGGUUGGAAAGCUUCGUCGGUUUUGGAUGGACUCGCGGCUUAUCAGCUUGUUGGUGGGGUAGUGGCUUACCAAGGCGUUGACGGGUAGCCUGCCUGAGAGGGCGACCGGCCACAUUGGGACUGAGAUACGGCCCAGACUCCUACGGGAGGCAGCAGUGGGGAAGAUUGCACAAUGGGCGGAAGCCUGAUGCAGCAACGCCGCGUGCGGGAUGACGGCCUUCGGGUUGUAAACCGCUUUCAGCAGGGGCGAAGCUUGUGGUGACGGUACCUGCAGAAGAAGCACCGGCUAACUACGUG